CCUACGGGUGGCAGCAGUGGGGGAUAUUGCACAAUGGGGGGAACCCUGAUGCAGCGACGCCGCGUGGGUGAAGAAGCUUUUCGGCUCGUAAAGCCCUGUCAGCAGGGAAGAAAAUGACGGUAUCUGAAGAAGAAGCCCCGGCUAACUACGUGCCAGCAGCCGCGGUAAUACGUAGGGGGCAAGCGUUAUCCGGAUUUACUGGGUGUAAAGGGGGCGCAGACGGCGAUGCAAGUCAGAAGUGAAAGCCCAGGGCUGAACCCCGGGACUGCUCUUGAAACUGCGUGGCUGGAGUGCAGGAGGGGCAGGCGGAAUUCCUGGUGUAGCGGUGAAAUGCGUAGAUAUCAGGAGGAACACCGGUGGCGAAGGCGGCCUGCUGGACUGUAACUGACGUUGAGGCGCGAAAGCGUGGGGAGCAAACAGGAUUAGAUACCCUUGUAGUC
rnacentral:rRNA from 1 species